UUUACCUAUUGGAGAAAUACCAAAAAGUACUCUGGCUGAGUCCAACUACAAGGUUGUAAGUUAAUGUUUCUACCUUUUCCCCUCAGUCACUGAAUUAUGAGCAGUGAAUAAUGUCUGUCUUGUGAUUGGUGCUGUCCUGCUUUACUUGGAGAGACAGUAAGUUUGCUCAGUGUUUGUGACUGCCAGUGAAGUCUGUUCUCUAGUUGCUUACUGGAGAGGGAAGUUCUGAUAGCCUGGCACAGCUAGCAGUUAUUAAGGACAAGUGCAGGCAAUCUGAUUCCUUGUAUUUGAAGGUGAUAUGUACAGGAUUUGGAUUGAAAAACAAUGUGAACAGCGAGUGAAUUACAAGAUCCUUUUGGCUGUUGUGUUUUCUGCACAAGGGAGUCAGUUUCUUAGAAAAUAGAUAGCUAUGCAGAAGGACAAGGAAAAUGGAGUACUUAAACCUGCUGAUGGCCUUUGUGAAGAACACAUCAAAGGUUACCACUCUGGUUCCUGUAAUCCAAGGAAGCUAAA